AUGUGUACCUUUUCAAACAUGUAUUUUCAAAUAAGUUAAUCAUACUCACUUCAUAAAACCUUUGUCAUUGUCAAUACUUGCCAUAUUAUUUGAGCUAGACGUAGGCAUUUCACUUAGUACUGCAAAGAGUGCUAAUAUAAUACUGAGGAGGUAAUAUUGACCAAUACAUUUCCAUACAGUCUAUCCUCUCUCUGAAAAUGCUCCUCCUUCAUGUCUGUCAGUUGAUGGUGAUAUACAGGCUGAGAUGGACAUGGAAGAGAGAGAGAGGAUCUCUACCUCUUACUGUAACUCACAGUCACUCUCAGUGUGUUCUGUAUAACCAUGGUACUCUGUGUGAUCAUCUGGCUGGUUCUUGAUGUAUUCUGCUUUGGUGACAGUAAUGGUCAGAUCAUUAAGCCAAUCUCUUCUGCUGAAGUGAGAGACUCUGCAAUGUACUAUUGUGCUGUGACAGGAACCCAGAAACUCUGUACUAAAACCUUUCCUUAUACUUUCAAAUGUAGAUAUAAAAUGUAAUUGAUUUAAUGUAGUCAGUAGGAGGAGCUAAAGCUAAGGAUUAGAUAAUGAAUCAUUGUGAUAAGACAUGAUUCUCCCUACAUUAAUAAAAUCAAUCUAAGCAGGAGGAAGAGCAGCAACAGUUGAAGACUCUUCAAACACAGUAUGUGGAAAGAACAGUGAUCAGUCUGAUUUGUUGCCUUUUAUUGUCAGUUUGUCUAACUUACAAAGAACAUUGUUACUUUUUUCAAUUUUACUGUUCACAACAAUUACAGGUAAGAGACAGCAUUUGUUAUAUAAAUAUUGUCUAUUUUAUGUGUAUUUAAUAAUAAUAAUAAAAAUGCAGUAUCCAA